UGGGGAAUUUUGGACAAUGGGCGAAAGCCUGAUCCAGCAAUGCCGCGUGUGUGAAGAAGGCCUUCGGGUUGUAAAGCACUUUUGUCCGGAAAGAAAUCCUUGGCUCUAAUACAGUCGGGGGAUGACGGUACCGGAAGAAUAAGCACCGGCUAACUACGUGCCAGCAGCCGCGGUAAUACGUAGGGUGCAAGCGUUAAUCGGAAUUACUGGGCGUAAAGCGUGCGCAGGCGGUUUGCUAAGACCGAUGUGAAAUCCCCGGGCUCAACCUGGGAACUGCAUUGGUGACUGGCAGGCUAGAGUAUGGCAGAGGUGGGUAGAAUUCCACGUGUAGCAGUGAAAUGCGUAGAGAUGUGGAGGAAUACCGAUGGCGAAGGCAGCCCCCUGGGCCAAUACUGACGCUCAUGCACGAAAGCGUGGGGAGCAAACAGGAUUAGAUACCCUGGUAGUCCACGCCCUAAACGAUGUCAACUAGUUGUUGGGGAUUCAUUUCCUUAGUAACGUAGCUAACGCGUGAAGUUGACCGCCUGGGGAGUACGGUCGGCAAGAUUAAAACUUAAAUGAAUUGACGGGGUCAUAGCUGUUUCCU
rnacentral:rRNA from 1 species